GAUGAACGCUGGCGGCGUGCCUAAUACAUGCAAGUCGAGCGAACGGACGAGAAGCUUGCUUUUCUGAUGUUAGCGGCGGACGGGUGAGUAACACGUGGAUAACCUACCUAUAAGACUGGGAUAACUUCGGGAAACCGGAGCUAAUACCGGAUAAUAUUUUGAACCGCAUGGUUCAAAAGUGAAAGACGGUCUUGCUGUCACUUAUAGAUGGAUCCGCGCUGCAUUAGCUAGUUGGUAAGGUAAUGGCUUACCAAGGCAACGAUGCAUAGCCGACCUGAGAGGGUGAUCGGCCACACUGGAACUGAGACACGGUCCAGACUCCUACGGGAGGCAGCAGUAGGGAAUCUUCCGCAAUGGGCGAAAGCCUGACGGAGCGACGCCGCGUGAGUGAUGAAGGUCUUCGGAUCGUAAAACUCUGUUAUUAGGGAAGAACAUAUGUGUAAGUAACUGUGCACAUCUUGACGGUACCUAAUCAGAAAGCCACGGCUAACUACGUG
rnacentral:rRNA from 1 species